GUCUCCAGGCUACAGUGCAGUGGUGUGAUCUCAGAGCACUGCAGCGUCCUCCUACUGCAUUCAAGAAUUCUCCUGCUUCAGCCUCCCGAGUAGCUGGGACUGAAGGUUCUCGCCACCAUCACGCCGGGUUUUUUGUAGUUUUUAGUACAGACGGCGUUUCACCAUGUUGGCCAGGAUGGCCUCAACCUCUUGCCCUCAUGAUCUGCCCGCCUCAGCCUCCCCACAUGCUGGAUUACAUGCGUGAACCACCGCGCCCAGCCUGCCAUCUGGUUAUCUAUCGUCACCUAGUGAAUAUUAGACCUGUGCCAGCGGGACCCAGCAUGAUGUCAUCCUCAUGGUGUUUCUUUUUCUCUUAUUGCAGGAGAAGCCCGCCGUUUCGUGUCACCGCCGUCCUCUUGAAAUCAUCUUAGAGGAUGACGAGGAUGAGGACCUACCCCGUGAUGUGGACUCCGUGACAGCCCCAAAUGACCUCCGUAUGUAUUCUUUUUCUCAUAAAGUGCUUUAUUGUCACAGAGUUGACAUGCAAAACUAUUCACUUGUUUAAAGUGGGUGAUGUAGUGUUUUUACUAUAUUUACAGGGUUGUGCAGCCAUUGUCACAAUCUAAGUUUAGAAUUUUUUAAUUUCUCCUCAGAGAAAUUCUAAAGCCAUUAGUAGUCACUUCUCUUUUUCCCCAAGGCCCACACUUCUGGCCCUAGGUAGCCACUAAGGUACUUUCUAGAUUUGCCUUCUCUGGCAAUUUCUAUUUUAAAUCAAAUUUGAUUUUAAGUUAUGGGAUACAUGUGCAGGAUGUGCAGCUUUGUUAUACAGCUAAAAGUGUGCAUGGUUUGCUGCACCUGUCAACCCAUCACCUAGGUAUUAAGCCCCGCAUACAAUAGCUCUUUAUUCUGAUGCUCUCCCGUCCACUUCCCCCACUGUGUGUGUUGUUCCCCUCUCUAACAUUGUACAUAUUCUAAUACCACUUUCUUCCUAAUGACACAUCUUGGUGAUAAGUCAGGGGUGAUUUUCUUGCUUGCUUUUGUCUGGAGAACCUUUCUAGCUUCGGGUUCCUGAUAGGUGUGAGGAUCUCGGGUGUGCUGUGAGAAACAGAUGUCUCCAUGAAGAACUCAGCUCUAGACAGUGGAAUCUCCAUCAUGCCCUAUUGAUUCUACUGUUGAAAUAGGUUUUUGUUUCCUUCUGAAAACCUUCACACAGAGAGCCAAGGUAGCUGCUUUAAGUCAUG
rnacentral:lncRNA from 13 species